CCUACGGGAGGCAGCAGUAAGGGAUAUUGGUCAAUGGGGGAAACCCUGAACCAGCAACGCCGCGUGAGGGAAGACGGUUUUCGGAUUGUAAACCUCUGUCCUCUGUGAAGAUGAUGCCGGUAGCCGAGGAGGACGCUCCGGCUCACUACGUGCCAGCAGCCGCGGUAAUACGUAGGGAGCGAGCGUUGUCCGGAUUUACUGGGUGUAAAGGGUGCGUAGGCGGCUUGGCAAGUCAGUAGUGAAAUCCAUGGGGUUAACCCCUGAACUGCUAUUGAAACUGUCCAGCUUGCGUGAAGUUGCGGGAGGCGGAAUGUGCGGUGUAGCGGUGAAAUGCGGAGAGAUCAGGAGGAACACCAGUGGCGAAGGCGGCCUACUGGGCUUCAACUGACGCUGAGGCACGAAAGCGUGGGUAGCAAACAGGAUUAGAUACCCCAGUAGUC
rnacentral:rRNA from 1 species